GUCCACGCCGUAAACGAUGUCUAUUAGCCGUUGGGUCUGUUACGGACUUGGUGGCGCAGCUAACGCGAUAAAUAGACCGCCUGGGGAGUACGGCCGCAAGGUUAAAACUCAAAUGAAUUGACGGGGGCCCGCACAAGCGGUGGAGCAUGUGGUUUAAUUCGAAGCAACGCGAAGAACCUUACCUACUCUUGAAAUCCAGUGAACUUAGCAGAGAUGCUUUGGUGCCUUCGGGAACACUGAGAC
rnacentral:rRNA from 1 species